AUGGAGUCAGCUGCUCUCCUUUUGUGGGUACUGCUGCUCUGGGUUCCAGGAUCCACUGGUGACAUUGUGCUGACCCAGUCUCCAGCUUCGAUGCCUGUGUCUCUGGGGCAGAGGGCCACCAUGUCCUGCAGGGCCAGCAAGAGUGUCACUUCAUCUGGCUAUAGUUACAUGCACUGGCACCAACAGAAACCAGGACAGCCACCAAAACUCCUCAUCUAUGGAGCAUCUAAUCCAGCAUCGGGGGUCCCUGCCAGGUUCAGUGGGAUAGACUUCACCCUCACCAUCCAUCCUGUGGAGGCUGAUGAUGCUGCAAUCUAUUACUGUCAGCAGUGUAGGGAGUAUCCUCCCACAGUGCUCCAGGGCUAA